rnacentral:rRNA from 1 species
AUGAACGCUAGCUACAGGCUUAACACAUGCAAGUCGAGGGGCAGCGGGAUUGAAGCUUGCUUCAAUUGCCGGCGACCGGCGCACGGGUGAGUAACGCGUAUCCAACCUUCCGCUUACUCGGGGAUAGCCUUUCGAAAGAAAGAUUAAUACCCGAUGGUAUCUUAAGCACGCAUGAGAUUAAGAUUAAAGAUUUAUCGGUAAGCGAUGGGGAUGCGUUCCAUUAGGCAGUUGGCGGGGUAACGGCCCACCAAACCUACGAUGGAUAGGGGUUCUGAGAGGAAGGUCCCCCACAUUGGAACUGAGACACGGUCCAAACUCCUACGGGAGGCAGCAGUGAGGAAUAUUGGUCAAUGGGCGAGAGCCUGAACCAGCCAAGUAGCGUGAAGGAUGACGGCCCUACGGGUUGUAAACUUCUUUUGUGCGGGAAUAAAGGAACCUACGUGUAGGUUUUUGCAUGUACCGUAACGAAUAAGCAUCGGCUAACUCCGUGCCAGCAGCCGCGGUAAUACGGAGGAUGCGAGCGUUAUCCGGAUUUAUUGGGUUUAAAGGGAGCGUAGACGGGUUUUUAAGUCAGCUGUGAAAGUUUGGGGCUCAACCUUAAAAUUGCAGUUGAAACUGGAGACCUUGAGUACGGUUGAGGCAGGCGGAAUUCGUGGUGUAGCGGUGAAAUGCUUAGAUAUCACGAAGAACCCCGAUUGCGAAGGCAGCCUGCUAAGCCGCCACUGACGUUGAGGCUCGAAAGUGCGGGUAUCAAACAGGAUUAGAUACCCUGGUAGUCCGCACGGUAAACGAUGGAUACUCGCUGUUGGCGAUAGACAGUCAGCGGCCAAGCGAAAGCGUUAAGUAUCCCACCUGGGGAGUACGCCGGCAACGGUGAAACUCAAAGGAAUUGACGGGGGCCCGCACAAGCAGUGGAGUAUGUGGUUUAAUUCGACGCAACGCGAAGAACCUUACCAAGUCUUGACAUCCCUUGACGAACAUAGAAAUAUGUUUUCUCUUCGGAGCAAGGAGACAGGUGGUGCAUGGUUGUCGUCAGCUCGUGCCGUGAGGUGUCGGCUUAAGUGCCAUAACGAGCGCAACCCUUGCUGCCAGUUACUAACAGGUCAUGCUGAGGACUCUGGCAGGACUGCCAUCGUAAGAUGCGAGGAAGGUGGGGAUGACGUCAAAUCAGCACGGCCCUUACGUCCGGGGCUACACACGUGUUACAAUGGGGAGUACAGAGGGCAGCUACCGGGCGACCGGAUGCGAAUCCCGAAAGCUCCUCUCAGUUCGGACUGGAGUCUGCAACCCGACUCCACGAAGCUGGAUUCGCUAGUAAUCGCGCAUCAGCCACGGCGCGGUGAAUACGUUCCCGGGCCUUGUACACACCGCCCGUCAAGCCAUGAAAGCCGGGGGUACCUGAAGUACGUAACCGCGAGGAUCGUCCUAGGGUAAAACCGGUAAUUGGGGCU